UCUUUUAAAUCCGAAGCUGCUGAUACCAAGCUCCCAGGAAAAGCCUCUAAGCUUCAGUUGCAUGGGACCGUACCGUAAUCGGACACACGUGGGCAGGAUGAAAAUUCUAAGGCGCUUGAGAGAACUCAGGAGAAGGAACUCGGCAAAUUGACACCGUAACUUCGGAAGAAGGUGUGCCCUGGUAGGUUGUAGCCGUACAGGCGAAGGCCGAAGGGGUUGCAAAAAAUCGGUGGCUGCGACUGUUUAAUAAAAACACAGCACUCUGCAAACACGAUGAGUGGACGUAUAGGGUGUGACGCCUGCCCGGUGCCGGAAGGUUAAAUGAUGGGGUGCAAGCUCUUGAUUGAAGCCCCGGUAAACGGCGGCCGUAACAAUAACGGUCCUAAGGUAGCGAAAUUCCUUGUCGGGUAAGUUCCGACCUGCACGAAUGGCGUAACGAUGGCCACACUGUCUCCUCCUGAGACUCAGCGAAGUUGAAAUGUUUGUGAUGAUGCAAUCUACCCGCGGCUAGACGGAAAGACCCCGUGCACCUUUACUGUAGCUUUGCAUUGGACUGUGAUGGGAUCUGUGUAGGAUAGGUGGGAGGCUUUGAAGUGGGGGCGCUAGCCCUCAUGGAGCCGACGUUGAAAUACCACCCUGAUGUCAUUGCGUUCUAACCUUGGCCCCUUAGCGGGGUUGGGGACAGUGCAUGGUAGGCAGUUUGACUGGGGCGGUCUCCUCCCAAAGAGUAACGGAGGAGCUCGAAGGUACGCUAGGUACGGUCGGACAUCGUGCUGAUAGUGCAAUGGCACAAGCGUGCUUGACUGCGAGACUGACAAGUCGAGCAGGUGCGAAAGCAGGACAUAGUGAUCCGGUGGUUCUGAAUGGAAGGGCCAUCGCUCAACGGAUAAAAGGUACGCCGGGGAUAACAGGCUGAUUCCUCCCAAGAGUUCAUAUCGACGGGGGAGUUUGGCACCUCGAUGUCGGCUCAUCACAUCCUGGGGCUGUAGCCGGUCCCAAGGGUAUGGCUGUUCGCCAUUUAAAGUGGUACGUGAGCUGGGUUUAAAACGUCGUGAGACAGUUUUGUCCCUAUCUGCCGUGGGCGUUGGACGUUUGAGGGGGGCUGCUCCUAGUACGAGAGGACCGGAGUGGACGCACCUCUGGUGUACCGGUUAUCACGCCAGUGGUAUUGCCGGGUAGCUAAGUGCGGAAGAGAUAAGCGCUGAAAGCAUCUAAGCGCGAAACUUGCCUCGAGAUGAGACGUCCCGUGAUGUAAGUCACCUAAAGGGUCGCGGUAGACCACCGCGUUGAUAGGUCGGGUGUGGAAGCGCAGUAAUGCGUUAAGCUAACCGAUACUAAUUGCCCGUGCGGCUUGAUCCU
rnacentral:rRNA from 1 species